UUUGUUACUUCAAACCAAUCGGACUUCGGUCUGACAUCAAGUGAUAUUGAACAAUUUAGCUGAUCGCACGGUCUAAGAACCGGCGACAUAUCCUUCAAAUGUCUGCCUUAUCAACUUUCGAUGGUAGAUUAUGCGCCUACCAUGGUUGUAACGGGUAACGGAGAAUCAGGGUUUGAUUCCGGAGAGGGAGCCUGAGAAACGGCUACCACAUCCAAGGAAGGCAGCAGGCACGCAAAUUACCCACUCCCGGCACGGGGAGGUAGUGACGAAAAAUAACAAGCUGGUCUCAAUGAGUUCCRGCAUUGUAAUGGGAACAAUUUAAAUCUUUUAUCGAGGAUCUAUUGGAGGGCAAGUCUGGUGCCAGCAGCCGCGGUAAUUCCAGCUCCAAUAGCGUAUAUUAAAGUUGUUGCGGUUAAAAAGCUCGUAGUUGGAUCUAGGAUUAGGGCUACGGUCGUUCAGCUUGGACGUACUGUAUGCCCGACUCCUUUUCUCUAGUAUUCGAUUGUUGCUCUUAAAUGAGUGACUUUAGUUGCUGGAACUUUUACCUUGAAAAAAUUGAAGUGCUCAAAGCAGGUU
rnacentral:rRNA from 1 species